rnacentral:rRNA from 1 species
UACGAAGGGGGCUAGCGUUGCUCGGAAUCACUGGGCGUAAAGGGCGCGUAGGCGGACUCUUAAGUCAGGGGUGAAAGCCCAAGGCUCAACCUUGGAAUUGCCUUUGAUACUGAGGGCCUUGAGACCGGAAGAGGUCGGCGGAACUGCGAGUGUAGAGGUGAAAUUCGUAGAUAUUCGCAAGAACACCAGUGGCGAAGGCGGCCGACUGGUCCGGUUCUGACGCUGAGGCGCGAAAGCGUGGGGAGCAAACAGG